rnacentral:lncRNA from 1 species
UUGACAGUCUUUCACUUUUUAAAGUAAUUUUAUUUGAUGUAAAUAAUAAGAAAAUUUACAAUUUUGAUUGCUAAGAUGUGAGUUUGAUCAAUUUUGUAACUUUUUAUUUUAAAACAAAUUACAGUAUCAUACAUUUUAAUUAUUCUUCUUCUUUAUCUCUUUUACUCCAUUUCUGUAUCUGCUUUCAUGAAGAAGAAAAAACAAUAAUAAUAAAUAAAUACUUAUCUGAAAAUGGGCAUUGGACAACAAUUUUAAAUGUGAAUAAAGGCAAAAUAGGAAAAGAAAAAAGACAGUGUAAGAGGUGGCAGCCAUGGAGAAAGGAAGGAGAAGAGAGAAGAUGAGGACAAAAUAUAUAUAUAUAUAUAUAUAUUUAUUUAUUUAUAUUUAAAAAGCUUAUUAAAACAUAAAAAAAAUAAUUUGUCAAUAAAAAAACAUAAAAUAUAAUAAAAUAAACCAAGAUAUUUAUCUAUACAUUGAUACAAUUUUGCUAUAUUUUGUAAAUAUUUUCUACCGCUUUAUUAUUUGCAAUAAUUUUUCUACUUUUACUGUAUAUAUCAUAAAUAAUUAAAAUAAUGUAUUGCUAUCGUGGACAAUGAUAUGAAAUACAAUAAUAACGGACAUUCUAAACAAGUCAAAGAUGACGUAGUUAACUAACCUAGCUAUCUAGUACAACGGUUUUGGAAGACGUAAUAAGAACAUUAUUGAUUUCAUGAUAAUCAAACGUCACAUGCAGAACACGACAUCGUACUAAAAUAUGAUUAGCAUAUCUUUAGGAAUGACGUUGAUAAAAAUAGACAACACUCAAAACUAGUAAUUAAAUUUUCACUGUUAAAGCAUAUUGUUGAUUUCUACCAAAAGGUAACAUUUUAGUGUAUGAUUUUAAUAUAAUGGGUAACAAUUGAGUGUAUGUAAAAUAUUAAUAUUAAAAUUGAGUACUAAAUUAUUAUAAAAAAAAAAAAAGAAAGAAAAAAAAUAAAAAAAUGUUACUUAAGAAUAAAGAAAAAAGAGGGCAACAAUGUUCAUCAACCAAUUGUUUCAAAUAUGAAUGCAAACGGUUACAAACCGUAAUUCCCAUUUCACACAUUUAUUAAUAAUAAUAAUAAAUAAAUAAAUAAAAAGUAUUUAUUUUAUAAAGUCAAAUGACAACUAAGAAUGAUAUUGUAAUAUUUAAUUUUGGUUAAUUGCUAUAUAACUACCCCUACAAUUUCAGAUUUUCCUUUGUGACAACUCAUCUUUAACAUUCACCAAUCACAAUUCUAAGGUUGACUGGCAUAAAAUAAAUACUAAUUUAUGUAUUAGAAAUCUGUAGUUUUGGGAUAUUAUUCAUUUUCUACUAAAUUAUGAUAUAGCUUCUUCUAUGAUUUCUCUAAACUUAUUUUAUUAUAUAAUCAAACAUCAAAUUUAGGUUUUAAGUUAAUUGUAAGCUAUGGCUUUUUUUUUUUAUUUGUAAUUGCUCGUACACUUUAGUGCAUGAGGUUGAUCCACAUUGUUUCAUGCAUAGUUUUUCUUUUGUAAUUAAAGGAAAUAUAUAUGGUCACAUUUGUAUAUUUUUCAUAUAUAUAUUAAUAAAGAACACAGGAGGAUGCAAUUAAAUAAAAGGAGCUGAAACUCAAAAAACAAAUUAUGUUGAGAAUUUUUAAUCAAGUGAGAAAGUAAGAGAGUGGAAGAGAUGCACCGAUGUGAUGUAAUUUUUAUUUAUAAUUAUUAUUAUUAUAAAUACUAAAAGACAAAAAAGCACCCAGUAAUCCAUUUCCCGAAAGAUUAAAAAAAAAAACCAACAAAGAGAAAGAAAAAGAACCCAUGGCUUAUAAAUAAACUCCAUUGUUGCACCUCAGAAUCAGAGCUUCACAAAACACAAAGAAGAAGAAGUAGAAGAGAAAAUAAACGAGAGAAUUCAAUGACGAGGAAGAAAGUGAAAUUGGUUUGGAUUGCAAGUGACAAUGCAAGAAAAGCCAGUUUCAAGAAGCGAAGGCUCGGAUUAUUAAAGAAAGUGAGUGAACUCACCACUCUCUGCGGCGUUUAUGCCUUCGCCGUCGUUACUGGCCCCGACGAAGACCAUCCUGUCAUCUGGCCAUCCCUCUCCGCUGCUCAACACCUCUAUCGCCGCUUCCACAGCCUUCCCGAAGUCGAACGCCAGAAGAAAAUGACGAACCAAGAGACCUAUCUCAAAGAACGCACCACCAAGACUCAAGAUCUGUUGAAGAAACACAUCAAGAAGAAUCAAGAACUCGAACUUGAUCUCCUCAUGCAUCAAUUGCAUCAAGGUCGUCAGAUUUACCAACUCACCAACGGCGAAUUGCUUGGAUUGUUCUGGAUGAUCGAGGAGAGGAUAAGAGACUGUCGAAAACGAAUCGAGUAUCAUCAUCAGGUUCAUCGUCUUCCUCCUCCUCCUGGACUUGUUACUUCUAACCCUGCUCUACUUGAAACAGA